UUGUAAAGUAAAGUAACAAAAACGUGAAAAAGCAACCCAGCAUUAAUGAGCUGUUAUUUCCUAGAAAUCUUUCCUAAAUAUCUUCAUUUUCAUUUACAGUUCUUGGAGAAGGACAAAAGACUGAUAUUCAUUAAGUUCUCUUCUUCAAAUCAUAAACUUGUUGGAAAUCUCAUCCCUAUCCCCGAUCAAUUUCUGCCUCUAUGACUGUCUCCUCAACUGGUUCGUGAUUAAGAUCCCUUCCUAAAAUGGCCACCUGUAAACAUGCAACGGCCUCGGCUGCAAACCCCGUCCACUUUUGCAUCGAAGUUUAUUUUGCAGAAACCU